rnacentral:tRNA from 1 species
GGGUAUAUAGCUCAAGUGGUAGAGCACAUGCUUAGCAUGCGAGGUCCUGGGUUCAAUCCCCAGUACCUCCU